AUUCCAGCUCCAAUAGCGUAUAUUAAAGUUGUUGCAGUUAAAAAGCUCGUAGUUGGAUUUCUGGUGGGAGCGUUGGGUCGGCCCUAAGGGCUCGUACUCAAAUGUUUUCCGCCAUCCUUGGAGGGAUGUUGUCUGGCAUUAAGUUGUCGGGCUUCCGAUCUCCAUCGUUUACUGUGAAAAAAUUAGAGUGUUCAAAGCAGGCUUACGCCGUUGAAUACAUUAGCAUGGAAUAAUAAGAUAGGACCCUGGUACUAUUUUGUUGGUUUGCGUACCUAGGUAAUGAUUAAUAGGGACAGUUGGGGGUAUUCGUAUUCCGUUGUCAGAGGUGAAAUUCUUGGAUUUACGGAAGACGAACUACUGCGAAAGCAUUUACCAAGGAUGUUUUCAUUA
rnacentral:rRNA from 1 species